AUUGAACGCUGGCGGCGUGCUUAACACAUGCAAGUCGAGCGGUAACAGGCGUAGCAAUACGUGCUGACGAGCGGCGAACGGGUGAGUAAUGCUUCGGAAUCUGCCCAGUAGUGGGGAAUAACCAGUCGAAAGAUUGGCUAAUACCGCAUACGACCUUAGGGUGAAAGCAGGGGAUCGCAAGACCUUGCGCUCUUGGAUGAGCCGAAGUCGGAUUAGCUAGUUGGUAGGGUAACGGCCUACCAAGGCGACGAUCCGUAGCUGGUCUGAGAGGACGACCAGCCACACUGGGAAUGAGACACGGCCCAGACUCCUACGGGAGGCAGCAGUGGGGAAUAUUGGACAAUGGGCGAAAGCCUGAUCCAGCGACGCCGCGUGUGUGAAGAAGGCCUGCGGGUUGUAAAGCACUUUUAGUGGGGAGGAAACGCGCAGACCUAACACGUCUGUGAACUGACUUAACCCAAAGAAAAAGCACCGGCUAACUCUGUGCCAGCAGCCGCCGUAACAC
rnacentral:rRNA from 1 species